rnacentral:rRNA from 1 species
UGAAUACGAGAUGCUACGGCGUCGAAGCAGUCUAUGUCAUACUUCCAAGAAAAGCUUGCACUGUCAUAAACAAAUAAUGCCUGUACCAUAACCGACACAGGUGGGUAGGUAGAGUAUACUAAGGGGCGCGAGAUAACUCUCUCUAAGGAACUCGGCAAAAUGACUCCGUAACUUCGGGAGAAGGAGUGCCUUAUUUAUAAGGUUGCAAUAACAAGAUCCAAGCAACUGUUUACCAAAAACACAGGUCUCCGCUAAGUCGUAAGACGAUGUAUGGGGGCUGACGCCUGCCCAGUGCCAGAAGGUUAAAGAAGUUGGUUAGCAUCCGCGAAGCUGAUAACUGAAGCCCUGGUGAACGGCGGCCGUAACUAUAACGGUCCUAAGGUAGCGAAAUUCCUUGUCGGGUAAGUUCCGACCCGCACGAAAGGCGUAAUGAUUUGGAUACUGUCUCGGAGAGGGGCUCGGUGAAAUAGACUUGUCUGUGAAGAUGCGGACUACCUGCACCAGGACAGAAAGACCCUAUGAAGCUUUACUGUAACCUGAAAUUGAAAUUGGACUUUACUUGCGCAGUAUAGGUGGGAGGCGUUGAGAAUAUUCUUGCGGGAUUAUUGGAGCCAUCAGUGAGAUACCACUCUUGUAAUGUUAGAUUUCUAACUUUGUAUCAUUAUCUGGUCAAAGAACAGUUUCAGGCGGGCAGUUUGACUGGGGCGGUCGCCUCCUAAACGGUAACGGAGGCGCACAAAGGUUUCCUCUGAACGGGUAGAAAUCGUAUCUAGAGUGUAAAGGCAUAAGGAAGCUUGACUGUGAGACCUACAAGUCGAGCAGGGACGAAAGUCGGUCUUAGUGAUCUGACGGUGCUGAGUGGAAAGGCCGUCACUCAACGGAUAAAAGUUACUCUAGGAUAACAGGCUGAUCUCCCCCAAGAGUUCACAUCGACGGGGAGGUUUGGCACCUCGAUGUCGGCUCAUCGCAUCCUGGGGCGGUAGUACGUCCCAAGGGUUGGGCUGUUCGCCCAUGAAAGCGGUACGCGAGCUGGGUUCAGAACGUCGUGAGACAGUUCGGUCCAUAUCCGGUGUAGGCGUUAGAAUAUUGAGAGGAGCCUUCUUUAGUACGAGAGGACCGAGAAGGACAUACCUCUGGUGUACCAGUUAUCGUGCCAACGGUAAACGCUGGGUAGCUAUGUGUGGAGUGGAUAACCGCUGAAAGCAUCUAAGUGGGAAGCCCACCUCAAGAUAAGUAUUCUCAUU